GCGCUCUUGCCAAGAGAAACGAGCCUCAUUCGCGCCGUCGUGGUGUCCUGGCCCGGCCGUGCGGAGGGUCCAGCUCGCUGCGUUCAGGGCGCUUGCAAUCCUCGUUAGCAAGUAAAAAACGCUGCCGCUUCUGUAGCUGCAGGGCCGCAGCCGGUGCGGCUGAGUCUGCAGAGAGCCCCCGGUGCUGACAUGACGGAGAACCUGUUGGAAACCGCUCGCUGAGAUAGUUGGGCACCCUUCCGUCUUGCCACUCAAGCCAGCUAACAAACUGCUGCGGAGGUUUAUUUCUUCCUUCCUUGAGCCAAGGAAAGAGCGAGCUCGUGUUUGCGAGUAGUGUGGUUUUCCAGGCCCACGCGAGAGGGGGGCUGGGGAGCGUUAUUGUCAGGAGGGAUCAUUUGGCCAGGGGCUGGUGGCGCUGAUGCAUUAAUACAACUUGCAGAGGAGCAGUUUUGCUUUUACCUUUGCGAGGAGUGCUGCUGACUUGAGAGGUAUUUUACAACUGACGAAAAGAACAUCAGGAGAGAGCCAGUUCACGUCUCCCGAUAGCGGAGCAGUGCUGAGAGUGCAAGCUGGACGGGCUCUGGGCCGACCGGCGUCUCUCUGGCCCCGUCCCUGGCAGGGCCAGCCCAAAGCUGGAGCCGAAAGCUCUGUAACAAGGUCAGAGUGCGAGGAUCUUGCAUUCCAGAUAUGCUUUGGGGUUGCAAAUGCCAUAAACGGCACAUUUAUCGGAAACAUUCUGAAGAUAAACCCUUAUCGAGCUCCUUAUAAUUACCGGGUUUGGGUGCCUUGUGCUCUGCAAAGGAGAGCAGCAAAAUUUGCUCGAGGAAAAGGCAGGUAUGUAAAAUGCUGCUUACUUUCUCAGGCCACCACCUUGGGAAGGGGUGGAAUUAGCUGCAGCUAAUUAGCUGCAUAGCCUGUAAGUCAUGAUAAGUUUGUGUUGUGUAUAUGGGAGGCUCGCAUGGCCAGUCGUUCUGCAUCAUGGUUACUUUCUUUUUCCCCAGUUAAGCAUGCACUGUGAAGGCAAACAAGUUAAUGUUGAUAAAGUCAAUGCCGAUUCAUUCUGCAUGUUUUGUGAUGCUUUGUAACACGGGACAUUGGUAGGGUGAAAAGUCAUUUGGGAGAAAGGGGGUUGGGACAGGCACGCAGAAGUUUCUCUCUGUCGAGCUGAGAAUUUGCAGCUGAAGCAGUCGCUGGUGCGGGUUUUUCUGGCUCCCCAGCAGUUCUCUGCUUUCAUGGUUCAGGGCUUUCUUGGCCCCAAAGUGUCGGCCGUAGGUGGUGGCUUCUCAUGGUCUGCUUUUAACAGAGGAGGAGAGCGUGGAAACGUUCUGUAGGUUAGGGCUGUGUGUGUGCCCCGAGAAGUCACCUAAGCCUUUAUUUCAAUGGUAAUAUUAAAGAUCCCAGUAAAGGAAAAUAUUGUAUUUUGUGCUGAGCAGAAAUUUAAAUGCUAACAUUACAAAGUUUUUCUUAGCUUUACUGAUGGGAAUGAACACAUUAUCUAAAAAAGUUUCAUUGUCAUGUACUUAUUUGUCUGGUAUUAUUUGGAACUACAAGUUAAAGAAGUUAUGUCCUGGUUAGGAAGUUUUAUACUGCCAUGAUUUUAUCAGUUUUGAACACAAUGCAUUUAAGGUAGAAGAUCACCAUAUAAUAAACCCAGUUACAUGUUACA
ensembl:lncRNA